UUAUUUUUUCUGAAAUAAGGGGAAAUAAGGUGAACAGAAUAAAACUUAAACUAGUUGGUGUCCAAGUCGAAGUUUUGUUCAUGAAAAGCUUGACUUUGGACCUCACCUUAAUUGUAUUUUCAAUGAUAGAUCUCUUUCCCUUUCCACAUGUCAUUCACAAUUAAAAAAAUUGGAUGCCAAAUUGCCAAUAUAGCUUUAUCACAUAAUUAUCAUAAUAACACUUUAGCCAAAGUAAGCGUAUAUGAUUCCUCCCAAAUCCAUUAAGACAUCAAAUAAAUGAAUAAUACACAACUAAUUAAAACGACUAUUUCUUUUUGUCCACCAUGACAAAUUCGCUAAGAUAAGUUGAGAAUAUAUGCCAUUCUUAGCUCAAAACAAGAUUCCGAGCUUAUGGCAUACCGUCAAUUUUAGGUGGGACGAAUUUUUUAUAAACACGUCAUCAUUUAAAAUAAACACGGUCAAAUUAGUCUCACAACAUGUAUACAGUAUAGGAGUACAUUAUUAUAUACGCGAUAUUUGUAAUUACAUAAGUGGAGUAUAUGUAACCAAGUGUGUCUUGGCCUAGUGGAAAGGAUUCCGCCUUCCAACCAAAAGAUUGGGGGGUUCAAUCCCCACUAGGGGCACUUUGAGGGAGGGUUCCCCUUAUCACUCCCCCCACUCUCAAAGUGUCUAGUCUGCCAACCAAAAAAAGUGGAGUAUAUGUUCGCCUUACCACCCCGGUCCCCCACUACCCAAGUUCUAUAUAUAUGUGUUCCGGAAAAUCAUUUAAACUCAUCAAUCUAAUCCCAAAAUACCCUACUAGCUACCCAACGUAACACUAGUAAUGAACUCAUAUCCAUUUUACUCUGGUCACUCCAAUGACCACCAUAACAACCACAAUGGCUUAAGUGGCAUGUUCGAUAACCACCACGGCAACCACAGCAACAACCACGGUGUUCCAUAUUAUGGCGGACACAGUGGAGGCCAUCAUGGUCAUGACAACCACCUCGCUGUCCCAUACUAUGGCCAUGGUGCAAACCAUCAUGGUCAUGACAACCACCACACUGCAAUCCCAUUUUAUGGCCAUGCUGGUGCUGGGAUGGGCGGUAUGGGUCAUCAAGGUUACAUGCACCAUGGAAAUGGACACCAUGGGAUGGGCUACAAGAAGGGCAAGAAACACCAUUUUGGACAUCAUGGUGGUGACAGCAGCGGGAGUGACAGUGAUUAAUUAAUAUGGAUGAGCAAGCUAUGUGCAACGAGGAACUGGCUGGGUGGAAAUCUGAGUACUCCCCAAUUCAAGUCCUUUAUCUCAUGCAGGAGUAUGUAGUAAAAUAAUAAUGGCAUAUCAUAUGCUGAUCGAUCGAUAUGAAUGAAUUGUUGUACUACUUUCGUUCUUUGUACUAGAAACCGUUUUUAUUUUUUAUUUUUGACAACUCUUUGUACUAGAAAAUAUCUACUACUAUGAACUUUUAUAUUAAAUGGUCGUACUUUUUCCGUCUCA